AUCAUGGCUCAGGAUGAACGCUAGCGGCAGGCUUAACACAUGCAAGUCGAGGGGCAUCGGGAGUAGCAAUACUGCCGGCGACCGGCGCAAGGGUGCGUAACGCGUGAGCAACAUGCCCGUAUCAGGGGGAUAAUCCAUGGAAACGUGGUCUAAUACCCCAUAGUAAUUAUGUAAGGCAUCUUAUAUAAUUUAAAGCUUUGGUGGAUACGGAUUGGCUCGCGUGACAUUAGCUAGAUGGUAAGGUAACGGCUUACCAUGGCUACGAUGUCUAGGGGUUCUGAGAGGAAGGUCCCCCACACUGGAACUGAGACACGGUCCAGACUCCUACGGGAGGCAGCAGUGAGGAAUAUUGGACAAUGGAUGGAAAUCUGAUCCAGCCAUGCCGCGUGCAGGAAGACGGCCCUAUGGGUUGUAAACUGCUUUUGUAUGGGAGCAAUAAGGGCUACGCGUAGUCCGAUGAGAGUACCAUACGAAUAAGCACCGGCUAACUCCGUGCCAGCCGCCGC
rnacentral:rRNA from 1 species